rnacentral:rRNA from 1 species
CCUAGGGGCUGCAGCAGUGGGGAAUAUUGGACAAUGGGCGAAAGCCUGAUCCAGCCAUGCCGCGUGUGUGAAGAAGGCCUUCGGGUUGUAAAGCACUUUCAGUGGGGAAGAAAGCCUUGGGGCUAAUACCCUCGAGGAAGGACAUCACCCACAGAAGAAGCACCGGCUAACUCCGUGCCAGCAGCCGCGGUAAUACGGAGGGUGCGAGCGUUAAUCGGAAUUACUGGGCGUAAAGCGCGCGUAGGCGGUCUGAUAAGCCGGUUGUGAAAGCCCCGGGCUCAACCUGGGAACGGCAUCCGGAACUGUCAGGCUAGAGUGCAGGAGAGGAAGGUAGAAUUCCCGGUGUAGCGGUGAAAUGCGUAGAGAUCGGGAGGAAUACCAGUGGCGAAGGCGGCCUUCUGGACUGACACUGACGCUGAGGUGCGAAAGCGUGGGUAGCAAACAGGAUUAGAUACCCCAGUAGUC